rnacentral:lncRNA from 1 species
CAGAGUACGAUAUUGGAGUUGGACCCAUCCCAUCCCCCCGAUCCCAGUUCCCCACCCACCACCACUCUUGGCUCCGUUAAAAAGACUUUAGAGACUGCUGCAAAAAUAUGCAAAGUGUAUUUCUAGCUACUACUCAAAAGGGAAGGGCGUGUUUAGAUAGUAGUAGCUGAGUAGUACUAUUAGAGUAUUAAUACUGAAUGAUGAUCAUACAACACCUAGAUUAUCCCAGUGGAAAGGGCACCUAAAAAUAGUAGUUUGUUUAGCUUUGGCUGUAUUGUGGUAGCCUGGUAGGGAGGGGAUGCACGCAGGGACAGAGAGCAGGGGAGGGGAGAACAAAGAGAAGGUUUGGCGAAUGGACAAUGGACAGAUGUCAACGUUGCUGUACAGACCACCGCUCCUUUCCUUUGCUUUCCUUUCCUGCUUGCGUUUCUACAGUGGACUUGGAUUUUAGAUUUUAUAAGAU